UACGUAGGGGGCUAGCGUUGUCCGGAAUCAUUGGGCGUAAAGAGCGCGUAGGCGGCCAGAUAAGUCCGGUGUGAAAGUCAAAGGCUCAACCUUUGAAUGCCGCUGGAAACUGUCUGGCUAGAGUCCGGGAGGGGCGAGUGGAAUUCCUGGUGUAGCGGUGAAAUGCGUAGAUAUCGGAAGGAACACCUGUGGCGAAAGCGGCUCACUGGACCACAACUGACGCUGAGGCACGAAAGCUAGGGGAGCAAACAGG
rnacentral:rRNA from 1 species